GACAGAGGUCUCAAGCGUUAGGCGGAAUCACUGGGCUUAAAGCGUGUGUAGGCGGAUUCCUAAGUACCUUGUGAAAUCCCCGGGCUUAACCCGGGAACUGCUUGGUAUACUGGGCGUCUUGAGCCAACUAGGGGCGACCGGAACAAACGGUGGAGCGGUGAAAUGCGUAGAUAUCGUUUGGAACGCCAAUGGUGAAAACAGGUCGCUGGGGUUGUGCUGACGCUGAGACACGAAAGCCAGGGGAGCGAACGGG
rnacentral:rRNA from 1 species